UCUUGUUUUGAAGAAUGUUUUCCUGUGGCGAAGGUGCCAGAGUAAACGAGUCAAAAAGUGGUGGCGAACUGGGUUAGCAAAAGGUGAAGGUGAAGAUCAUUAGAGGUUUUAGGGCUGGCUGUGGCUGUUCUGCUGGGUUUGUGUGGCUGUGCCCAGAGGGCGGAGUUCCUGCAUAUUCCUACCUCACCGGAGAACCUGCCCUCAACUCCACUGCAGUUUAUUCCAGACAGAUGGGACCCUCCAGAAAGAAAACCUGCCCAGCAAUCUCAGCAAGCCUUUCCGCCAGCAGGGUAGGUGAAGAUAAAGAAAACCUCCUCUACUCCCUACAGGCAGAUCCCUGUGAUGCGAAUUAAAGUACGUGACAGACUUCUGUCUACACAUACUAUUUUCCACUACCCAAAUAAUAACCAGCUCGUCUGCAUGACUAAAGCAUAGUUUAAAAACACCAGUUAUAUCUGAACUGUUUGUUCCCAAAGUUAGGAUUUUCCUCCCCCUCCUCCCCAGCUCUGUAAUUUAAUCAGAGAACUAAAGCCAAGGAAGAGACACGUGCAAUGUUUUGUUUGGCUUUUUAAGACGCUGUGCAGAACUACCUGUACCUGAAAGACAAGAAAGGAUGCCAGGAUGCUGUCGAUACUUUCUCGAGCAGAUUUGAUCAUUGGAGGUAAACAUGGGGUUAACUGGAUCAGAAUAAAUGAGGUGGGUAAGACUGUAUUAUAGCUAUUAACAUUUGCCAGAUGUUUGCAUUUCUGGCAGGUUUUCUAGCAAAGGUAGGUACAGGUAUUGGGUUUAAGUAAGAUGGAUACUAUAAUGUUCAACUAUAGACACUUUGUGAAUACUCAAUAUCCAAGUCAUCAGCUCCCAGGAAGACAACUUUCAGUAAAAUGUUGUGGAAAGAGAUAGAGACUGAAAUUUGUGGGGGAAAUAUUGCAGGUGUUUAUUAUUAUUAUUAUUAUUAUUAUUAUUAUUAUUAUUAUUAUUAUUAUUAUUAUUAUUAUUAUUAUUAUUAUUAUUAUUAUUAUUAUUAUUAUUACAAUACAAUAAUAAUAAUAACCAUUAAAUAUAAAUAGCAACCUGCAGACAACUCAGAGCAUCCGAUGUCCUCAGGAGAGACUGAAAGGUUUGUAUAUGUUUGGGAUGCUCGGAGUUCUACCCUGCUUUUCAGGUAGAAUUCUUUUAUUUACUCAGACAAAAACUCUAAUUCAAAUCAAAUGGACUUUUACCUUUAUUAUUAAUCAGCCUCAUCAUCAUCAUAAGCUUAUUUUUACGGCAGGUAAAAGCCUUCAAAGUGGGCCCAUAUGGGCUAGACCCUGGAAAUCCCACUGAAGUCAGGAUUUGGUUUGCGGGCCGACUCAGAGGAAUACAUAACGGCGAUUCCUUGAAAGCAACCCAAAUGGAAAAUCAAACCCAUUUAAAAAUUCCCAGGUUACACAUCUCUAUUUAAUAAUUUUUGAAGAAUUAGUUUAAUACAGAUCAACUAUAUACAUAUCUUUGUCUCUCUAUAUAUUUUACAUGAAUAUAAGUACAGAUGUGGGACCUGAUCCUCUGUCCACUGAUAUCAUGGAAAUUUUGCCUGUGACAUCAAUGGGAGCAGGAUCUGGACCUUUUAUCAUUUUGUAUGAGUAUGCAGAUGGCGUGAUGACAGUGUUUUUCACAUGUUGAUUCCAGCCUAGUAUUUCUAUAGUUCGAGUUAAAACUCUAGAUUUUUUCAACACCGUAAUUUUGUACUGAACUCAGGGAUGUUGUAGGUAUUAAGGAAAGUAUAUAAACUGAUUUCUUGUCCUAAAUGCAAUGAAAUUUAUAUUGGGUAGGUGCCAUAGAAAUCGCUGUCAAAACGCUCAUAGAUUUCAGUGGCAUCAGGUUCGACCCGUUUUCCAAACAUUUAUAACUAAUAUACCAUACAAUCACACAGGACUGAGAGAAUUAAAUCUGAAGAAUAUCCUAUACAGCGAGCUAUUCUUUAACAAACGCUGAGUUCAAAUGUUAUGAUUCCAACCAUUGUUUUACCCCCGCCACCGGCAUGAUGCAGAUUGCAAAAAUCCAGUCUCUAUGUAGUUUUACCAUCUAAGGGUCUUCUCUUCUGUUCCCUCUGCACCCAUUGGGGUCAAUGGGAGCUAGGGUUCAGAGAUGAAUUCCUGACGAGAAAAGGAAGAAACAUUGUUCACAGAAUAACAAAGAACAACAGACAAACAUAACAUUCUUUUACGUUCUGCUAGCCCUGAAUUGAUCCUGACAAAGACUGGAAACAAACAGUGGCUUCUUAUGUUUUCUAACAUUUUCAUUUUUAACAAAAAUGUUUUAAAAAUGUUUACUUUGUAUAAUACGCACCUACACCGUUCGUCCAAUUGUUUAGGUAAUAAAUAAGGCUGUCUAUAUAGAACCCUUUAAAAAGCAGCGCGUCUGUUUCAUCCACAAUACAGGCUCUUUUUAUAAUCCUGUUUCAAAUAUACAAACACACACGUUACGAGGUUGUGUGUGUUUGUGGAUCUACUUCUCGAAAGAAAUGUACUAUCAAAACAUUAAUUAUAUUUGAAAGGGAGACGAUUAUUUGUCUGCGAAAGAAUUACAUCCUUGAAUAUAUAUUCCGUACAGAUCUCAUCUCCUGUCUGCAACGAGGGUUGCAAUUGUAGAUCUGUCUCAAAUGAUGUACCCUAAAUGCAGGAAGGUGUAUCACAUUACAGUUGUAGAGAAAAGGGAGAUAAUCCCUUUAUUUUACACACAUCUGUAGGAUGAUCGUUAAGGGAAUGUUGAAAUCGACUUGCAGUUGCAACGGAAACAUGUCAAGAACAUGUACAUUCGUGUUCUUUACUACCGAAAACACAAUGAUUUUUAACAUAUAGACACAGGGAUGAUCCCAGUUAGUUAUUAAACACUGUAAAUCACCAGGGCUUUGGCCUACAAGUCCUGUUUAUUUUUAAAAAAAUGCCAAAAUUGACAUGCACAUAUUAGUUUAGCUUGCAAUUAAAAUCUAUCAACGGUGUGAAUCAUCAAUGAUAUUUUUUAGAUUGUAGUUUAUUUAUUUGGCUUUAAAUGAUGAAUAACCCGAUUAAACAGAUUUCCUCAUCUUGCUAAACUUGUGCUGCGAAUAAUAACGAUGAUGACGACUCCUUUUGAAUACUAGCUGUAGCAGGGAAUCUUGAAAUCCAUUCAUUUGAGUAUAUUUUGUUCUGGUCUUUUUCAAGUACUGCUCCAUAGUCCUGCUUUUUUCGUUCUUCCGCAAAGUCAGGCCUGGUAAUCACUGAUGAGAGCCCCUAAUUCAGAUUCAGUGGCUGGAUCCUUAUUUUCAUGUUUGGGGUGACGGGAGAAGGCGAUUUGUCCCUAAAAUGUACUAAGUAGUGAGGCUAUGGGAGACCAGCCUAGCAUCUGAGCCUCAGGAGAUGGGUACUUUCCCCCUUCAGAGUGGUCCCCGGAUCAUCUUUCUUUGGCUACGGGAAAAUGCCAGCGGGGGUGAGGAGGCUGAGGAGAGCUCGCCACAGGCGUGAGGCAGACGGAGCAGCGCAGAGUGCGUUACUGUGUGUGGCUGUUUCUGGGCUGUGUUCUCUGUCCCAGUAGGGAUCUUUGGAGGAAGAAGGUGACAUGAAGAGGCGCGUCUGACAGCCAAAGUGGGGGAACUGUCCGGGAGAAGGACACGUGAUGAAUGGAGAGCUGCGUGGUCACGGUGCAAAGGCAGAAUAGGACAGUGUGCUGGUACCAAAUGUCUUUUUUUUUUUGUUCGCUUGAACAGCACCACAAAAACUGGGGGGAGGGGAAGAGAGCUGGGGGUUGGGAGGAAGAGAUCUGUGGAGUUAGUGGCUGUCUAGAGUGUAAACACGAGCCCAUCAUCUCCCCGGGAGGAGAGGAGUCUGCUUUUGUCAAACCUGCUAGUGUCUGGAAGAUAAAGGCAAAGAGGCCACUGGACCAGCCUGAGAUUCUGCCUUGAAAUCUGGACCCGAAAUGAUUCAAAGGACAAAAAGGGGGAAAAUAAUACUAAAAUCUCCCACGCAGACAGCUGUCCGGGGUUAAAACCGGUUAUUUGUUAAUUGCCUUGAUAUAGUAGAGAGGAAAGGCUGCCACAGAACGUAGGGGCGGGGGGAAGGGGGGAGGAAACGGUUUCAAACAAUAUCUGAUUCCUUUGGUAACUUGGUACAAGUCUCAAUUCAGCUACAGUCCAGGCAGCUCUGGAGGUUGUGGGGAGGCUGGAGAUGUAAAUGUUGUAACUUGUCGGAUUGCGUGUGACCCUGAGCGAUACUACUAUGAUUUCAAUAAACACUUUAAAAUCGACUAAACUAGCUCCUCCAUCCGUCAGAAAACAUCACUUCGAGUCUCGAAUAAAAUAUUGUGGAAUAGUCUGAGCUAAACGUUGCUUUGCAAAAGCACUUUCCUUGCCAAUCUCCCAGUAACUGCGCACA